UAUACAAAAUCCCCAAACUAAUUUUACCCUAAAACGCAAAACACUCUCCACUUCUCCACUCCGUUCGCAUCUCCUACUCCAUUUUUCCACACCACAUAUAAAACAUAAAAUCCUACUGCUUUACUUCUGAACCCAGAAAAAGAAGGCAGAGAGUUUUUAGAGAUUAAAAAUAGGUGAUGAAUCUUAAAGAUUGGUGUGUGUAUUAUACAAUAAUGUUGUUGUUGAUGAAAUUCCGUUUCUAUUAAAGCCAACAAAGGCUGAUUUCUUCAAGAAGAAAGAUCCAAAAAGUGCUUCUUUGCUUCUGAAACCAAAAUGAAGACCAGGAAUUUGGUGUUGCUGAUGUUAUGUGUUAUGGUUAUAGCUCCUAUUGUUCUUUGUACUGAUAGAUUCUCUACCUCUUUCAAGGCUUCUUCUUCUAGAAACCAAUUUUUGAAGAUCUUUCAGCUUUUCCAUCUAAAUCUUCUUCCCCAGGUCAUUGAUCUGAAUCAGAGUGAAAAUGAAAUCAAGAAAAGUUCUGGAGAUGCUAAGGACAAGAUUAAGGCAUCUGAGCAGCAGAAUUUUGAUAAUGACUCUCAAAAUAUGGAAAUCAUAAGAAUAAAGAAUGAACACCCGGAUGAUAGCCAGUGUAUUGUCAAUGAUAGAGUGAAAGGUUGUCUUAAGGUCACCAGAGCAUUUGGAGCUGGAUUUCUGAAAAAGCCCAAGUUGAAUGAUUCAUUAUUGGAAAUGUUUCGAAAUGAGUAUAUUGGAACUGCUCCAUACAUAUCCUGCAGGCCUUCUCUUCAUCACCAUAGACUCUGCCCAAGAGAUUAAUUUUUGAUCCUCUCAUCCGAUGGCUUAUAUCAGUAUCUGACCAAUCAGGAAGUGGUUUCAAAUGUUGAGAGUUUCAUGGAUAAGUUUCCAGAUGGUGAUCCUGCUCAGCACCUAAUAGAGGAGCUGCUCUUCCAUGCAGCAGACAAAGCUGGUAAGGGAAAGUGAAAAAACAGAAGCAGAAAUAUGUGAGGAAGUUCUGGGUAAAGCUUUCGGAUUCAAUCAAAAUUUUGUAUUUUCACACAUUGAGCAUCAUGAUACUGUAACAGAAGCAGAGUUAAGUUGCAUAGUGCAACAACAAGAAAAAAAGAUUAAUCAAUUGGAGGAGCAACUCGUCUUAGUUGAUCAACAAAAACAGAAAACAAAAAGCCUUGAACAACAACAAUUUGUCCUGUUGGAGAUGAUGAAGCAACUAACUAUAGCCCUUGAACUACAACAAUCUGAUAAAGCUCCAACUCGAUAGCUAUCGCCAUCUCCAACUACUAAAGACUUGUCCUCAUCAGCUACAGCUAUUUCAAAAACCUCAAUUGGUGACACUUGAGAUGCUCUAGAUAUUGAUGGUUAGUUUUUUGUUGUAUGGGCAGUAUAUAUUUUGACAUAGGGGUAGGACCAUCUUUUUAGGAUUGUUUGCAUAUAUCUGUUAGAUGGUGUACAUGGGAUGGGCAUUUUUUUGUUAGUUAUGCACAGAUAGAUAGUUAGUGAUGAAAAUGUGGGUGCAUACUUUUUUUUUGGGUUAUGCACACUUGAUAGUGCAUUUUGGAUUUUUAUUGCUCCUAAUGCAUAAAAAUCCAUGUA